rnacentral:rRNA from 1 species
UACGGGGGGGGCAAGCGUUGUUCGGAAUUACUGGGCGUAAAGGGCUCGUAGGUGGCCAACUAAGUCAGACGUGAAAUCCCUCGGCUUAACCGGGGAACUGCGUCUGAUACUGGAUGGCUUGAGGUUGGGAGAGGGAUGCGGAAUUCCAGGUGUAGCGGUGAAAUGCGUAGAUAUCCGGAGGAACACCGGUGGCGAAGGCGGCUUCCUGGACCGAUACUGACGCUGAGGCGCGAAAGCUAGGGGAGCAAACGGG